CCCGCGUGGCCGCGUCUUCUGCAUCCAGCCACAGCCAAGGGUUUCCUGGUUGACAUGUCAAGCCCCGCCGGCGGCCACAAGCACCGGAGUUCCACUGGUGAUGCGUGUCACGCCCCAUGAACCUUCUCCUCUUGCUCUCACCUCUUUCUUCCCUGUCCCUCACCUCUCUUUCUCUCUUUGUUGACAGGAACACCCAUGGCGCCUCUACUUCGAGGCCUCGCGCCACGACCAGGUGCCCCAUCAACCCUGACCUGCCCGUCGGUCCUCUCCUCCCCACCUCGCACCGCAGCUCGUGCACCACCGGCGACCAGUAGGGGAUCACACGGGUAUUUUGGAGCCUCUAUAAUGUCAAUGUGAUGGAAUUCUGGCUUGGUGCCUCCUGUCUAACUUGAUUUCUUCCGGGGAGUUGAGCUACAAAGAGUUCUUGACACAUUGCUAUUGUUCAGUUUCCUUAGUAUAUCAAGACGGGGGAUUUUCGAAAGUGCUUCAAUACUCGGUCUUUCUUACAAUAGACAAUCUCAAUAUGUAUUGUCAGAUAUGCUCCAUCAAGCCUUGUAGUUCUCCACGCCUAGGGAGCGUAUUCGGGCAUCAUUUCAAUAUGACAAUCCAAUGUACGAUCGAGCCCGUGCGAACCUUACCACAAAAAUAUCGAGCGAAAUCUCUGUCGUAUAUUUGUUUCCGCCUUGUUUUGUAAGCCUCAUCUUUUGUUUUAUUAGAGUAUUGUAAUUCCGGUUUCUUUGAUGUCAAGUGGUGAUUUCAUAUCUUUUUUUA